rnacentral:lncRNA from 1 species
ACAAGCUGAAGGGCAACAAGGGCUUGGGAAGCUUGACAAAAGAGGGGAUCUUUCAAUUGGGUCAUUAAGGGUGACUAGGAGUUGCCAAUGGAUGGUAGAGAAAGGACUUUCAGGAGAAACACAGAUGAAGACAGAACACAGGAAACAGCUGAGGAAAAGCAGAAAAAGAUGGAUGAAAUGAUAAAUGAAUUUGACAUGGAAGAUUGGGAAGGGAGGAAGUUGACAAUCUGUACUCCUGAAAAUAGGCAUAUAGGGUCGGCAGGGGAUGAACUGCAUCUGAAAUUGGUCCAACCUGGCUGCACAAGGAACUCUUUGGUCAACACAAUUCUUAAAAUUAGAGGGUAUGAGAUGAGAAAGAGAACCAUCUGGGCAUGGAGAAUUGGCACCAAGCAAGAGCAAGGAACCAGACAUCAGUUACGGAAAAUGUAUCCCCACAUCACAUCAUGGGAGCCUAGCUCACAGACACUGCCAAUGGAAAUUGCAGAAAUAGAUC